CACGGGUCCCAGUGGAACCAGGAGUCUCUUUUCCCUCAGGCUGUGGCAGUACGCAUUGGGGUGGGUGUGUAUUGGAUCAGUGUGUGCCCCAUGAAUGUGCCUGGAAUGAGUAAUUGCUUCUUUCUGGAGUGUGAGACAUAUACACAGAGCCACGCAAGAAACACACACACAUAUUAAAAAUGGCUUCCUGAAAACAAACACAG